CUACAGAAGACUUUCAAAAAGUUCCGUAACUAACACAUUUAAGAUUCUUACCUAUGUUUUCCUGCCUCCCCAGGCACUGACGUGGCUGCAGAAGCACUGACAUGCUUCUCAUUCAGUGUACACACACAGAGGUCUGUACUGGCGUGUGUGCAGCCUGAAGGCUAGUCCCUGUUCUUCCUCUAUUCGCCUUCUAAUCCUCGGACUGGUCAUUUCCCUCAGCCUCAGUUUCCUCUUCUGCUUAAAGGGGAGGGGGGAAGUAGACGAGUUGAUGUCUGAGGUCCCUUCUAGUGCGGACAUUGAGAUUCGUUGAGCAGGAGCUGGAGGAUUAAGGCAGGGGCUGAUGUUAGAUCUGUUCAGGCACCUGAUGACAAGAGAGAACCAAACAGAGCAGGAGUUGGGAGGCUGUCUUCGUAGAGGCAAAGGGAAGAAUUUGCAGAUGAUUUGGGGCAACCAGUGUGCUAACAUCCCAGUGCUGUCUUAGAGUCUCCACGUGUGCCACUCUGGGAUCACUUUCCCAUCAUCUCCCUCCUGUUCUACACCCAGGAUCCCAGGAGGAUGACUGCAACAGCAGGCCCUCUAUGGGCCAGCUUCCUGUUGGUUUCAGCCAACGAGAGAUGCUGGAAGGAAAUCUCAGGGAGAAGGGAGAGUGAAGCUGGGGUAUUUAUUCUCUCCAUCCCACCUUCCCUCCCAGGUCACCAAGGAUUGGCUACAUCCUCUGUUGAGGACAACAGCCCCCUAGAAUUAAUGGCCUAGGAUAUCACCUUUAUCCCUUUUCCUAAACCCUGCCCUUGUCUUUGUAACAGUCUUUUCUUUAAACCCUAUUCCCAUUUCCCAUGUUGAGUGUGUCUUCUGUUGCUGUUGGGACCCAUUGAUGCAGGCUGUCCAGCAGCCUCACUUUUGGGAUUUCCUCUCUCCCAGCCUCAUUCAUUGCUCUCCAAAGUUUACUUUUAUUGAAUUUUGUAUCUAUUUUACUGUGUCCCCUGCUCUCUUAAUUUCUGUAAAUUCUGUGCACAUUGCUAUAGAGUGGGGCACCCCUCUGGCUCACGCUACAGUAGAACAGAGAAGAAUGAAAAUUCCACUCCAUGUCCAAUUUGAGUGCCUCAUGCACAUUCAGAUGGAGUUUCCCAGCAAACAGAGAUGCCAGCAAGAUGACUGGAAUGUUCUGAAGGGACUAGUACAGAGGAUGACCAGGGAAGACAAUUUCCAGGAGAGUGAAGACAUCAAUCUACAAAUUCAAGCAAUAAAAGAUGUCUCCAUGCUGAAGGAGCAUGUGGUCUGGUGGGGAAGAUGCACAUAG
ensembl:lncRNA